GACGAACGCUGGCGGCGUGCCUAAUACAUGCAAGUAGAACGCUGAAGGAGGAGCUUGCUUCUCUGGAUGAGUUGCGAACGGGUGAGUAACGCGUAGGUAACCUGCCUGGUAGCGGGGGAUAACUAUUGGAAACGAUAGCUAAUACCGCAUAAGAGUAGAUGUUGCAUGACAUUUGCUUAAAAGGAGCAAUUGCAUCACUACCAGAUGGACCUGCGUUGUAUUAGCUAGUUGGUGAGGUAACGGCUCACCAAGGCAACGAUACAUAGCCGACCUGAGAGGGUGAUCGGCCACACUGGGACUGAGACACGGCCCAGACUCCUACGGGAGGCAGCAGUAGGGAAUCUUCGGCAAUGGACGGAAGUCUGACCGAGCAACGCCGCGUGAGUGAAGAAGGUUUUCGGAUCGUAAAGCUCUGUUGUAAGAGAAGAACGAGUGUGAGAGUGGAAAGUUCACACUGUGACGGUAUCUUACCAGAAAGGGACGGCUAACUACGU
rnacentral:rRNA from 1 species